UUUCGACGGCCGCCGGGGAGGCCUUGCGCCCCCGGGCCCGCGCCCGCCGAAGACCCCAACAUGAACGCUGUUCUGAAAGUAUGCAGUCUGAGUUGAUUAUCGUAAUCAGUUAAAACUUUCAACAACGGAUCUCUUGGUUCCGGCAUCGAUGAAGAACGCAGCGAAAUGCGAUAAGUAAUGUGAAUUGCAGAAUUCAGUGAAUCAUCGAGUCUUUGAACGCACAUUGCGCCCCCUGGUAUUCCGGGGGGCAUGCCUGUCCGAGCGUCAUUGCUGCCCUCAAGCACGGCUUGUGUGUUGGGCCCCCGUCCCCCUCUCCCGGGGGACGGGCCCGAAAGGCAGCGGCGGCACCGCGUCCGGUCCUCGAGCGUAUGGGGCUUUGUCACCUGCUCUGUAGGCCCGGCCGGCGCCAGCCGACACCCAACUUUAUUUUUCUAAGGUUGACCUCGGAUCAGGUAGGGAUACCCGCUGAACUUAAGCAUAUCAAUAAGCGGAGGAAAAGAAACCAACAGGGAUUGCCUCAGUAACGGCGAGUGAAGCGGCAAGAGCUCAAAUUUGAAAGCUGGCCCCUUCGGGGUCCGCGUUGUAAUUUGCAGAGGAUGCUUCGGGUGCAGCCCCCGUCUAAGUGCCCUGGAACGGGCCGUCAUAGAGGGUGAGAAUCCCGUCUGGGACGGGGUGUCUGCGUCCGUGUGAAGCUCCUUCGACGAGUCGAGUUGUUUGGGAAUGCAGCUCUAAAUGGGUGGUAAAUUUCAUCUAAAGCUAAAUACUGGCCGGAGACCGAUAGCGCACAAGUAGAGUGAUCGAAAGAUGAAAAGCACUUUGAAAAGAGAGUUAAACAGCACGUGAAAUUGUUGAAAGGGAAGCGUUUGCGACCAGACUCGCCCGCGGGGUUCAGCCG
rnacentral:rRNA from 1 species